rnacentral:misc_RNA from 1 species
AGUCGUAACAAGGUUUCCGUAGGUGAACCUGCGGAAGGAUCAUUACCGAGUGAGGGCUCCUCGUGAGCCCAACCUCCCACCCGUGUUUUUUACAUACCCUGUUGCUUUGGCGGGCCCACUGGGCUCUGUCUCGGUCGCCGGGGGACCUUCUGGGUCCUCGGGUCCGCGCCCGCCGAAGCGCCUCAUGAACCCUGAUGAAGAUGGGCUGUCUGAGUUUAAUAUGAAAAUUGUCAAAACUUUCAACAAUGGAUCUCUUGGUUCCGGCAUCGAUGAAGAACGCAGCGAAAUGCGAUAAGUAAUGUGAAUUGCAGAAUUCCGUGAAUCAUCGAAUCUUUGAACGCACAUUGCGCCCCCUGGCAUUCCGGGGGGCAUGCCUGUCCGAGCGUCAUUUCUGCCCUCAAGCACGGCUUGUGUGUUGGGUGUGGUCCCCUCCCUGGCGGGGGGACCUGCCCGAAAGGCAGCGGCGACGUCGCGUCCGGUCCUCGAGCGUAUGGGGCUUUGUCACUCGCUCGGGAAGGACCUGCGCGCGUCUGUCACAACUGUAUUUUUUACCACGGUUGACCUCGGAUCAGGUAGGAGUUACCCGCUGAACCUAAGCAUAUCA